rnacentral:tRNA from 1 species
UGGGGAGUGGCGAAAUUGGCAGACGCGCCGUCCUGUCUCGACGGUGUUAUAACAACGUUAUAACUUGGAGGUUCGAAUCCUUCCUCUCCAGCCA